GACGAACGCUGGCGGCGUGCUUAACACAUGCAAGUCGAGCGGAAAGGCCCUUCGGGGUCCUCGAGCGGCGAACGGGUGAGUAACACGUGAGUAACCUGCCCCAGACUUUGGGAUAACCCUCGGGAACGGGGGCUAAUACCGGAUACGACACAGCUUCGCAUGGGGUCUGUGUGGAAAGUUUUUCGGUUUGGGAUGGGCUCGCGGCCUAUCAGCUUGUUGGUGGGGUGAUGGCCUACCAAGGCGACGACGGGUAGCCGGCCUGAGAGGGCGACCGGCCACACUGGGACUGAGACACGGCCCAGACUCCUACGGGAGGCAGCAGUGGGGAAUAUUGCACAAUGGGCGGAAGCCUGAUGCAGCGACGCCGCGUGAGGGAUGACGGCCUUCGGGUUGUAAACCUCUUUCAGCAGGGACGAAGCGUAAGUGACGGUACCUGCAGAAGAAGCGCCGGCCAACUACGUG
rnacentral:rRNA from 1 species